rnacentral:lncRNA from 1 species
CAAAUAUGAGUUUUCCCCCCCCCAAUUUUUUGGAAAACUUAGAAUGACUCUGAUGUGUGUGUUUUUUUGCCCCACAUUUACAGGCUUCGUGAUGACUGUGCAUCCUAUUUGGAAGGGAAACAUUCACCUCUAUCAGGCUCUUCUCACAGCAGUCAGUCACAUCCUGAGCCAGUGGAAAGAUUUGCCCUCUGCUUUCGUGAUGACAUGGAAAUUGCUACACAAAUUGAAGAACCUCAGCCAUCCUGUGUUAAUUUGAAAGAAUCCCAUUCAAUACAUGGAGAGCAACCUCAGAAUGUCAUUGAACAUUCAAAUUACAGUCAAAGUACCUUACGUGAAGUUUUGCCUCUUGAACAAUUGGAAGAUUUGCCAAAUGGAAUACGUUUUCUUCCAGAUGUUAAAAGCAGCAAGGUUGGUCCAUCUGAACCUUCUGAAAAGAUGAUGGAAGGUGCUGUCUCAAGUGUUCAUCUUAGCAAUAGCCUG